UAAAAAUUUAAAAUUUUCAAACAAGGAAAACCCCAGCAAACAAAAAUCAAUUUUUUAAAAAUAAUUAAAGAAACCCAGUACUACAAAUUCAUCAAAUUACAAUAACAAGAUCCAACGGGAAACCCAUAAAUAACAAAUAUCCUAAAAAAAUCAAAAUCCAAUAAACACCCUUUUAACUCCAAGGACCAUAAGCAUAUUCCUUAUCUUUGCGUCAAAACUAACUAAUUUUUUAAGAGAGAGAUAGAGAGAUCCGGCAGGCUACACCAAAAGGAAGGAACUUGAGGUUAAGAACGGUUAUUAUUAGUUAAACAAACAACUCCGAUACUAGUGUUUGAGCUACCAUGGAUUAUGAAACAGAGACAUACACAUAAUAUGAUUGGUCAAGUAUUAAAGUAGGCAAGGGAAGGAACAACUCUGAUACUGGUGUUUCAGCUAUCAAGGAUGCUAAAUGGGUAGUCAAGAAAAGGAUCUUGCCACCAGUAGUCAAGGGAAAGAACAACCCUGGUUCUCCAGCUACAUGGAUAGACAGAUACUUCAUGAACAUAAGAUAUAGACUUAGAUGUGCACGUGAUGGUUCCCUAAAAAUAACUAGAUCUGAAAUCAAGGAACCAUCAAUAGAUUUAAAGUCUUCACUUAAGAUGUUUUUCCAAGUAGCAGCAUGUGAUGCACAUGACUGGACGGAUGUCAACAGAAGUUACCGUGACAGGAGGUCAUUCCCUAUGUUUCUUGGCCUGUUAAAACUGUCUGGACUGGGAAAGUAUGCCUUCAAUGAGGAUACAUUCUUACAGGACGAUGACAUGAAUAUUAGGUACCCGCAAGAUAGAUAUUGGUUACCCCAUAAGGUGUCGCCAGAUGUUGUGGUUGCAAAUAAAUACUAUGAUGGAAGCUUUUCGUUGAUGAGACUUUUGCAAAGAAUUCGUUCAGAAUCUGCCGAUCAUUUCAGGAAAGAGCAGAUACAGCAGGAGCAGCGGUUUAUUUCCAAGAGUUUCUCGGAGCAUCUGGAACAAUUGAGAAAAUCUGGUGAAGUUGCAUUUUCUUCCAAUCCUUUUAACGAUGAUGAUGGAGAUAGGCCCAAGUGUCCUAUUAUAAGUUCUGAUAACACCAUGGACUCCUAUAUGUGGCAACAAAAGCACCUAUUAGAUAGUCUGUGUAUCAUGUCACACGAAUCAGUUUGGUUGUUGAAGAAACUCAAGGAUUCCCCUUUUACUAGUCCCUCAUCCAUCCUGGAGUUCAACAAGAUUCUUGACAUCGUCUUGGUUUUUAUUCCAAAGUUCAAGAAAUCAAAGGAAUUGUUGGAUCAAUGUCUUCUCAUGUUAUAUGCCCACACUAUAAGUUACCCGUUUCAAUUGAUUGUGGGUAAUAAUGAAAUAUUACAUAGUUUUAGAGGGUGCAUAAAAGAUCUCCAGGAGCAAGGUGUUGAAAGAAAUUCUCUUGCGGAAACACUGCUCGGAUGUUUUGUAGAUGUAGUCAAUAUGUACUACAACCUCGCAGAUUUAGGCGAUCCAUUCGGGGACACCUGUUCUUCCAUUUAAUAUUCCUUUUCUGAGGCUGCCAAACAAACAUCAGAGCUGAUAAAUGAAGCAGUAGAUAAACUAAAUUCAGUCAGGUUUUCUAAUCUUACCGGCGGAGGCUCUCCACUUUGAUGUAUAGCUUUAUGGAGAAUUCUAUUUGAAUCGUCUCUAAUUAAUCUUCGGUUGGAUCUUAUAUGUAAAAAGCACAGUGAAACAGUCGAACACGGGGUUAAACUGUUUGGCACUGCCACAAACGAUCAAUUGGAUCAAAUUAGGUUGUCGAUUGAUGAACUAUUGACAGUUGGGGAAAGCGUCCUAGUUGAAUUUAUAGCCAUGCACAAAACGGUGGCAGAAGUUUCUUAUAUGCUAGGAGAUGAUUUUACAACUGGUGGUGCUGGUAUGAGGGGUUUGAGUGAUGUUACGCAUCCAUGCAAGCACAAUGACCAAUUAAUGGAUUUCAACCCUGAAGAUUUCCCUUGGGAUAAACACAAUGUUCCUAGUUCUACGAUUG